rnacentral:rRNA from 1 species
AUUGAACGCCGGCGGCAGGCCUAACACAUGCAAGUCGAACGGUAACAGGAAGCAGCUUGCUGCUUUGCUGACGAGUGGCGGACGGGUGAGUAAUGUCUGGGAAACUGCCUGAUGGAGGGGGAUAACUACUGGAAACGGUAGCUAAUACCGCAUAACGUCGCAAGACCAAAGAGGGGGACCUUCGGGCCUCUUGCCAUCGGAUGUGCCCAGAUGGGAUUAGCUAGUAGGUGGGGUAACGGCUCACCUAGGCGACGAUCCCUAGCUGGUCUGAGAGGAUGACCAGCCACACUGGAACUGAGACACGGUCCAGACUCCUACGGGAGGCAGCAGUGGGGAAUAUUGCACAAUGGGCGCAAGCCUGAUGCAGCCAUGCCGCGUGUAUGAAGAAGGCCUUCGGGUUGUAAAGUACUUUCAGCGGGGAGGAAGGGAGUAAAGUUAAUACCUUUGCUCAUUGACGUUACCCGCAGAAGAAGCACCGGCUAACUCCGUG